rnacentral:rRNA from 2 species
UGGGGAAUAUUGGGCAAUGGGCGAAAGCCUGACCCAGCAACGCCGCGUGAGUGAAGAAGGCUUUCGGGUUGUAAAGCUCUGUUAUAGGGGACGAAGAGCGUGACGGUACCCUAUAAGGAAGCCCCGGCUAACUACGUGCCAGCAGCCGCGGUAAUACGUAGGGGGCGAGCGUUGUCCGGAAUGACUGGGCGUAAAGGGCGUGUAGGCGGCUUUAUAAGUCUGGAGUGAAAGUCCUGCUUUCAAGGUGGGAAUUGCUUUGGAGACUGUAGAGCUUGAGUGCGGAAGAGGUAAGUGGAAUUCCCAGUGUAGCGGUGAAAUGCGUAGAGAUUGGGAGGAACACCAGUGGCGAAGGCGACUUACUGGGCCGUAACUGACGCUGAGGCGCGAAAGCGUGGGGAGCGAACAGG